UACAUGGGGUGCAAACGUUGCUCGGAAUUAUUGGGCGUAAAGCGCACGUAGGCGGUUUGUUAAGUCGGAUGUGAAAUCCCUCGGCUCAACUGAGGAAGUGCAUCCGAAACUGGCAAGCUUGAGUACGAAAGAGGGUCGCGGAAUUCCCGGUGUAGAGGUGAAAUUCGUAGAUAUCGGGAGGAACACCAGUGGCGAAGGCGGCGAUCUGGACAGAUAUUGACGCUGAGGUGCGAAAGCGUGGGGAGCAAACAGG
rnacentral:rRNA from 1 species